rnacentral:misc_RNA from 1 species
UUUUAAUGUAUACGAAUUUUUUUGAAAUAAAUUUGAAAUAAAAAAGGAGCAAUACCCGCCCUCUUGAUAGAACAAGAAAGAGGUUAUUGCUCCUUUUUUAUUUUUAUUUAGUAGUAUUUUACUUACCUAAAAAGAAAAAGUCAUUUUUUUAUGGGGUGGUUCAUGAUUGAGUAUCGUGCUUUCAUAUUAAUUUAGAAUUUAGCUAGCCUUUUCACAAUAUUUUGUUGUAUAUUUACCUUAAUGUGAAGUAUUUAAAAGAGAAAUAUCUUGGAAUUUUGUAUCUAAAAAAAAUAGGAGUAAGAAGAUGAAUGGUCAAAAUUGAAUCAUUAGAAAUGAGAAAUGAAAUGGGAAAUUGAAAUUUUGAAAUUAAAGAAAAUAAUAGUAAAUUAAAUAAUAAAUAGUAGGGGCGGAUGUAGCCAAGUGGAUCAAGGCAGUGGAUUGUGAAUCCACCAUGCGCGCCUGUGUGAAAUAGAUUGUCAUCCAGCAUUACGUUCAUGCAUAACGUC